GAUAAACGCUAGCGGCAGGCCUAACACAUGCAAGUCGAGCGGUAACAUGAGAUAGCAAUAUUUUGAUGACGAGCGGCGGACGGGUGAGUAACGCGUAUGCAACCUGCCCAUCACACGGAGAUAGCCGACCGAAAGGACGAUUAAACUCCGAUGGCAUCAAGAGGGGGCAUCCCCAUUUGAUUAAAUAUUCAUAGGUGAUGGAUGGGCAUGCGUGGCAUUAGUUAGUUGGCGGGGCAACGGCCCACCAAGACGAUGAUGCCUAUGGGUUCUAAAAGGAAGGUCCCACACAUCGGUACUGAGACACGGACCGAACUCC
rnacentral:rRNA from 1 species